GAUGAACGCUGGCGGCGUGCUUAACACAUGCAAGUCGAACGGUGAAGCAGAGCUUGCUCUGUGGAUCAGUGGCGAACGGGUGAGUAACACGUGAGCAACCUGCCCCUGACUCUGGGAUAAGCGCUGGAAACGGCGUCUAGUACUGGAUAUGAGCUGCGACCGCAUGGUCAGCAGUUGGAAAGAUUUUUCGGUCUGGGAUGGGCUCACGGCCUAUCAGCUUGUUGGUGAGGUAAUGGCUCACCAAGGCGUCGACGGGUAGCCGGCCUGAGAGGGUGACCGGCCACACUGGGACUGAGACACGGCCCAGACUCCUACGGGAGGCAGCAGUGGGGAAUACUGCACAAUGGGCGAAAGCCUGAUGCAGCAACGCCGCGUGAGGGAUGACGGCCUUCGGGUUGUAAACCUCUUUUAGCAGGGAAGAAGCGAAAGUGACGGUACCUGCAGAAAAAGCGCCGGCUAACUACGUG
rnacentral:rRNA from 1 species